UGGGAGAUCGUCUAAUGGUAGGACUCGUCCCUCUGGAGGACGCUAUCUUGGUUCGAAUCCAAGUCUCCCAGCCA
rnacentral:tRNA from 8 species